AUCCAGCUGACGAGUCCCAAACAGAACAAAACGAGUGUCCUGGAU
rnacentral:hammerhead_ribozyme from 1 species